GAUGAACGCUGGCGGCGUGCUUAACACAUGCAAGUCGAACGGUGAAGGCGGAGCUUGCUCUGCUGGAUCAGUGGCGAACGGGUGAGUAACACGUGAGCAAUCUGCCCCUGACUCUGGGAUAAGCGCUGGAAACGGCGUCUAAUACUGGAUACGAGCUGCGAAGGCAUCUUCAGCAGCUGGAAAGAACUUCGGUCAGGGAUGAGCUCGCGGCCUAUCAGCUUGUUGGUGAGGUAACGGCUCACCAAGGCGUCGACGGGUAGCCGGCCUGAGAGGGUGACCGGCCACACUGGGACUGAGACACGGCCCAGACUCCUGCGGGAGGCAGCAGUGGGGAAUAUUGCACAAUGGGCGAAAGCCUGAUGCAGCAACGCCGUGUGAGGGACGACGGCCUUCGGGUUGUAAACCUCUUUUAGCAGGGAAGAAGCGAAAGUGACGGUACCUGCAGAAAAAGCGCCGGCUAACUACGUG
rnacentral:rRNA from 1 species